rnacentral:tRNA from 1 species
GGAGAGGUACCCAAGAGGUUGAAGGGGGGAGUUUGCUAAACUCCUAGGUCGGGGUUUUUCCUCGGCGCGCGGGUUCAAAUCCCGCCCUCUCCGCCA